ACGGAAGGCAGCAGUGGGGAAUAUUGGGCAAUGGGGGAAACCCUGACCCAGCAACGCCGCGUGAAGGAAGAAGGCCUUCGGGUUGUAAACUUCUUUUACCAGGGACGAUAAUGACGGUACCUGGAGAAAAAGCAACGGCUAACUACGUGCCAGCAGCCGCGGUAAUACGUAGGUUGCAAGCGUUGUCCGGACUUACUGGGUGUAAAGGGCGUGUAGGCGGAGCUGCAAGUCAGAUGUGAAAUCCCGGGGCUCAACCCCGGAACUGCAUUUGAAACUGUAGCCCUUGAGUAUCGGAGAGGCAAGCGGAAUUCCUAGUGUAGCGGUGAAAUGCGUAGAUAUUAGGAGGAACACCAGUGGCGAAGGCGGCUUGCUGGACGACAACUGACGCUGAGGCGCGAAAGCGUGGGGAGCAAACAGGAUUAGAUACCCUGGUA
rnacentral:rRNA from 1 species